UCAGUGAUUCGGAAGGUUGUUUUCAUUUUUUGGAAGCCUCCACCCUCGUGGUUUGUCAAAGUUAAUUUUGAUGGUAGUAUCAGAGAUAGCAGAGGUGGUUCAGGCUUUGUCACAUGGGGUCCGAAUGUGAGGCUUUUGGCAGUAGGAGGAUCUCAGCUCUUUGAUCCGACCGUCUUCGAGGCUGAGCUUCAUGCUAUUUGGGCAGGCAUCAUCUGCGCGAGACAGGAGUUGCGGGC
rnacentral:lncRNA from 1 species